CAGCCAACAUGCAUUUGUUUCAUUGAAAAUUAAAACCAAGGAGGUAUCAUUUUCAAGAAAUAUGGACCAUAAGAAGAUUCUCCUUUUAUUAUAUACUAUUGAUACUAACAACAGAGAAAUUUUCAUAUGGCAACAAUUGCAACAACACCUUGACUGCUAUACAAAUCCAUCAGUUUGGAAACUAUAACGUAUAUGCUCCUUUUCUAUUGGUUGAUUGUCUCUCUGACUUGGCCCGAGGAUAUUAUCAUUAAUUCUCCUACCCCACCACUCAAUAUAUUCAGGUGUCACCAUCGGUCCUACUACCAAUCUCUUCAUCCGUUGAGUCUGGUUCCAGGCAUUGGACAUCUCUCAAAUCUUCUUCUUGUAACCAUUGCCUUUAUAUGAGAAUUCGCACUAAACUAGUCCUUGGGUUGCGGGUACGAACUGGCUUGACCUAUACUGUCUUAGUACUAGCAAAGGUGCAUAACUAACAACUCCCCAAAUCCUAAGUAGAGGGACCUAGUCGAAAUCACCACAUCUAUAUAAGAUCUCAUCUGGAAGCAUCCAAGGAGCUCUCCAUUCGAUGUUAUUUUCUUGAAGAUUCUGAAGAAUUGCCAUCCAUUUUUCUUCUGAAAUAUCACCCUGAUAUACUUCCCCAGUUUAGCCGAAGCUUAACACAUCGAUUCGCGAUUAUGGUUUUACCUUUCUCGUGGAGAGAAAAGUAAUAAAAACCCAAUGAGUUUCUUUGAUUUUGGGUCUUUAAUAGGUACAAGCUCUAGAAAACUAUGAGCAAAGGUCCUUCAUUGCGGCAACAAUAAUCAAUCAAAUACACCACCAUAAUCCACUAAGAGAACCCACAAAGUUGACCUGGAGCAAUCUCGUACUCUUAGAGCAGAUGGCAGAAAAACGUAUCUAGGGGCAGAUGACACCCAACUUCCAAGAUGUGGAGGGGGAGCAAGAAACUGCCAUCACUGGUGUCGCUAACCUAUACGACCCAUCAAGAACCGAGAAUUCGUAAGCAAAGUUAGAGAUUUGAAUCCCUACGCACACAAAGCUCGAUGCAUCUCUUCAUCUUUUGUAGUGCAGAUGAAAAGGUUGGCUUCAAUAAGGACCUUGGAAGUGCGCUCUCACGGUGGGCAACAUGGAAUUAACUGGCCAUGAGCUCCUCUCAUUCUCGACAUAUCUUUGAUGUAGAAAGAAGAAAAAAAGAUAGAGGAAAUUUAAAACCUAAGACAAGGAGUUACUGAGAUUUACUUUGAAGAAAAGCUUUGACUGAUUCUAGUAACAAAAAUGCUAAGUUUGU
rnacentral:lncRNA from 1 species